rnacentral:rRNA from 1 species
GAUGAACGCUGGCGGCGUGCCUAAUACAUGCAAGUCGAGCGAACGGACGAGAAGCUUGCUUCUCUGAUGUUAGCGGCGGACGGGUGAGUAACACGUGGAUAACCUACCUAUAAGACUGGGAUAACUUCGGGAAACCGGAGCUAAUACCGGAUAAUAUUUUGAACCGCAUGGUUCAAAAGUGAAAGACGGUCUUGCUGUCACUUAUAGAUGGAUCCGCGCUGCAUUAGCUAGUUGGUAAGGUAACGGCUUACCAAGGCAACGAUGCAUAGCCGACCUGAGAGGGUGAUGGGCCACACUGGAACUGAGACACGGUCCAGACUCCUACGGGAGGCAGCAGGAGGGAAUCUUCAGAAAUGGGCGAAAGCCUGACGGAGCAACGCCGCGUGAGUGAUGAAGGUCUUCGGAUCGUAAAACUCUGUUAUUAGGGAAGAACAUAUGUGUAAGUAACUGUGCACAUCUUGACGGUACCUAAUCAGAAAGCAACGGCUAACUACGUG